rnacentral:lncRNA from 1 species
UAAUCUUAAGCAUAAAAUUAAAAGUUAAGAGGUGAAAAGAUCUGACCAAUGGGAUGCAAUCCAACGGACAAGAAUGUCAUAUAGAAACCCAUUUUCCCUUUGGAUUUUGAAUUAAGUAAUAAUCAAUCAGACAAUUAGCAAUAUCAGACAUCAUGAAUCAUGGCAUCAAAUAAAGAUAGCCACAUCCAAGCAAGCAAUUCC